GAUCACCCAAAAAAACGCUCACGUCGUGUAGCUCUAGGACUCCCUCCGACACGGCCCUCACGCGCAAUUUUGUUAAGAGAGCACGACUUUCCUCUACUGCGCAGGCCAAGGCCCUGGGCCAGCUGACGCCGCCGGAGAUCGUCAAGGUGGUCGGACGCCAAAUUAUCGACUCGCGCGGCAACCCCACUGUUGAGGCCGAUGUGUACACCCGCAAGGGCAUGUUCCGUGCUGCCGUGCCCUCCGGUGCCUCGACCGGUGUGCACGAGGCUGUGGAGCUGCGCGACGGCGACAAGUCCAAGUGAGUCGCCUGAAACCUCGAUUUUGGGGAAGAUACCCUUAACUGCUUCUCGUUGUUUCCAGGUACCUGGGCAAGGGUGUGACCAAGGCUGUUGAGAAC
rnacentral:lncRNA from 1 species